CAAGUCGAGCGGCAGCGGGAAGUAGUUUACUACUUUGCCGGCGAGCGGCGGACGGGUGAGUAAUGUCUGGGAAACUGCCUGAUGGAGGGGGAUAACUACUGGAAACGGUAGCUAAUACCGCAUAACGUCUACGGACCAAAGUGGGGGACCUUCGGGCCUCACGCCAUCGGAUGUGCCCAGAUGGGAUUAGCUAGUAGGUGGGGUAAUGGCUCACCUAGGCGACGAUCCCUAGCUGGUCUGAGAGGAUGACCAGCCACACUGGAACUGAGACACGGUCCAGACUCCUACGGGAGGCAGCAGUGGGGAAUAUUGCACAAUGGGCGCAAGCCUGAUGCAGCCAUGCCGCGUGUGUGAAGAAGGCCUUCGGGUUGUAAAGCACUUUCAGCGAGGAGGAAGGCAUAAAGGUUAAU
rnacentral:rRNA from 1 species